rnacentral:rRNA from 1 species
CCUACGGGGGGCAGCAGUAGGGAAUCUUCGGCAAUGGGGGGAACCCUGACCGAGCAACGCCGCGUGAGUGAAGAAGGUUUUCGGAUCGUAAAGCUCUGUUGUAAGAGAAGAACGGGUGUGAGAGUGGAAAGUUCACACUGUGACGGUAUCUUACCAGAAAGGGACGGCUAACUACGUGCCAGCAGCCGCGGUAAUACGUAGGUCCCGAGCGUUGUCCGGAUUUAUUGGGCGUAAAGCGAGCGCAGGCGGUUAGAUAAGUCUGAAGUUAAAGGCUGUGGCUUAACCAUAGUAUGCUUUGGAAACUGUUUAACUUGAGUGCAGAAGGGGAGAGUGGAAUUCCAUGUGUAGCGGUGAAAUGCGUAGAUAUAUGGAGGAACACCGGUGGCGAAAGCGGCUCUCUGGUCUGUAACUGACGCUGAGGCUCGAAAGCGUGGGGAGCAAACAGGAUUAGAUACCCGGGUAGUC